rfam:Charadrius vociferus contig7766, whole genome shotgun sequence.
GUGCAUGCUGUCCUAUAAUUUAUGAAACGGAGCCCAGGAAACAACCAAUCGCUUAGCUCCUCCUAACAAGUCCAACUGGCUAUGAAAAGCUGGAAGUGCUGCACAGAACAAUGAAGAGGAGCUAUCCUACAUAUUAAUCUGCUUAUCUAGGAUUGCUUUCUGUGGAGAGAGAGGGAAACAUGUAACAGGGAGAGAGGAAAAAAAAAAAGAAAGGAAAAAUCACAGCUUCACUGGUGAAACAACAGAAUAUAUUUUGGUCAACGGGCAAAUCUUCUAUUGUAGUCA